rnacentral:rRNA from 1 species
UACAGAGGGUGCGAGCGUUGUUCGGAAUUACUGGGCGUAAAGCGCGCGCAGGCGGCCUUUUAAGUCUCGUGGUGAAAUGCCGGGGCUCAACCCCGUGCCCGCCGGAGAUACUGGGAGGCUGGAGACGAGUAGAGGCAAGCGGAAUUCCGGGUGUAGCGGUGGAAUGCGUAGAGAUGCGGAAGAACACCAGUGGCGAAGGCGGUCAACUGGCCUCAUAUUGACACUCAGACGCGAAGGCAUGGGUAGCGAACGGG